rnacentral:rRNA from 1 species
AUGAACGCUGGCGGCAUGCCUUACACAUGCAAGUCGAACGGCAGCACGGGAGCAAUCCUGGUGGCGAGUGGCGAACGGGUGAGUAAUGUAUCGGAACGUACCUUUCAGUGGGGGAUAACGUAGCGAAAGUUACGCUAAUACCGCAUACUCUGUGAGCAGGAAAGCAGGGGAUCGCAAGACCUUGCGCUGAUUGAGCGGCCGAUAUCAGAUUAGCUAGUUGGUGAGGUAAAGGCUCACCAAGGCGACGAUCUGUAGCGGGUCUGAGAGGAUGAUCCGCCACACUGGAACUGAGACACGGUCCAGACUCCUACGGGAGGCAGCAGUGGGGAAUUUUGGACAAUGGGCGCAAGCCUGAUCCAGCCACGCCGCGUGAGUGAAGAAGGCCUCGGUUGUAAG